ensembl:snRNA U6 U6 spliceosomal RNA
GUGUUCGCUUUGGCAGCACAUAGACUGAAAUUGGAAGGGUACAGAGAAGGCUAUCGUGGCCUGUGUGCAAAGGAUGACAGGAAAAUUCAUGAAGCAUUGCUCAUUUUU